rnacentral:rRNA from 1 species
AUUGAACGCUGGCGGCAGGCCUAACACAUGCAAGUCGAACGGUAACACGAAGAAGCUUGCUUCUUUGCUGACGCGUGGCGCGCGGGUGUGACAUGUCUAUGAAACUGCCUGAUGGCGGGGGAUAACUCCUGGAAACGGUAGCUAAUACCGCAUAACGUCGCAAGCCCAAAGAGGGGGACCUUCGGGCCUCUUGCCAUCGGAUGUGCCCAGAUGGGAUUAGCUAGUAGGUGGGGUAAAGGCUCACCUAGGCGCCAGGCCCUAGCUGGUCUGAGAGGAUGACCAGCCACACUGGAACUGAGACACGGUCCAGACUCCUACGGGAGGCAGCAGUGGGGAAUAUUGCGCAAUGGGCGCAAGCCUGAUGCAGCCAUGCCGCGUGUAUGAAGAAGGCCUUCGGGUUGUAAAGUACUUUUAGUGGGGAGGAAGGGAGUAAAGUUAAUACCUUUACGUAUUGACGUUACCCGCAGAAGAAGCACCGGCUAACUCCGUG